GCUGGGGUUGUGGCUCAGUGGUAGAGUGCUUGCUUUGCACAUAUGAGGCACUGGGUUUGAUCUUCAAUACCACAUAAAAAUAAAUAAACAAAAUAAAGAUAUUGUGUCCAUGUAUAACUAAAAAAAUAUGAAAAUAUAUAUAUAUUUGUUAGAGCCAGAUGUGAUGGCACACGCUUAUAAUCCCAGCAACUUGGGAGGCUAAGGCAGGAAGAUCACAAGUUCAAAGCCAGUCUCAGCA
rnacentral:tRNA from 1 species